rnacentral:tRNA from 1 species
GUCUCUGUAGCUCAGUUGGUAGAGCAGCUGACUCUUAAUCAGCGGGUCCAAGGUUCGAGCCCUUGCAGGGACA